GUCCCUGUGGCCAAGUGGUUAAGGCAUAGUGCUUAUGGUUUCGCAUACAGGAAUCACUGAGAUCGGCGGUUCGACCCCGCCCAGGGACA